rnacentral:rRNA from 1 species
AGUGAACGCUGGCGGUAGGCCUAACACAUGCAAGUCGAACGGCAACACACUAAUAGCUUGCUCUUAUGGGUGGCGAGUGGUGGAUGGGAGAGGAAUACACCGGAAUCUACUUUUUCGUGGGGGAUAACGUAGGGAAACUAACGCUAAUACCGCAUACGACCUACGGGUGAAAGCAGGGGAUCUUCGUACCUUGCGCGAUUGAAUGAGCCGAUGUCGGAUUGGCUAGUUGGCGGGGUAAAGGCCCACCACGGCGGCGAUCCGUAGCUGGUCUGAGAGAAUGAUCGGCGACACUGGAGCGGGGACACGGACCAGACGCCUGCGGGAGGCAGCAGUGGGGAAUGUGGGGCAAUGGGCGCAAGCCUGAUACAGCCAUACCGCGUGGGUGGAGAAGGCCUUGGGGUUGUAAAGCCCUUUUGUGGGGAAAGAAAAGCAGCCGGUUGAGAACCCGCUAUUCUGACGGUACCCAAAGAAUAAGCACCGGCUAACUUCGUG